CCCCAGCAUGUUGAGUUCAGAGCAACUGAGUUCAGUUGAGAGCAGCUCCCCUGUUCAUCUCAUUAAACGUUGGGACAUUGAAAGUGGCUAAAGGAAAUGCCUGAAUAGAGCAGAUUGCUCUGUUCAUGUAUGUCCUAGUCAACACCA